CCCGGGCCUUGUACACACCGCCCGUCACACCACGAAAGUUGGUAACACCCGAAGCCAGUGGCCCAACCUUUUGGAGGGAGCUGUCGAAGGUGGGAUCAGCGAUUGGGGUG
rnacentral:rRNA from 1 species